rnacentral:rRNA from 1 species
AGAACGAACGCUGGCGGCAUGCCUAAUACAUGCAAGUCGAACGAACUCUUCGGAGUUAGUGGCGCACGGGUGCGUAACGCGUGGGAAUCUGCCCUUGGGUUCGGAAUAACAGUUGGAAACGACUGCUAAUACCGGAUGAUGACGAAAGUCCAAAGAUUUAUCGCCCAGGGAUGAGCCCGCGUAGGAUUAGCUAGUUGGUGAGGUAAAGGCUCACCAAGGCGACGAUCCUUAGCUGGUCUGAGAGGAUGAUCAGCCACACUGGGACUGAGACACGGCCCAGACUCCUACGGGAGGCAGCAGUAGGGAAUAUUGGACAAU